AAAAAAGAUUUUAUGUAUUUAUGGGGGGGGGGGAGAGCGAGCACAGGCAGACAGAGUGGCAGCAGAGGCAGAGGGAGAAGCAGGCCCCCUGCUGAGCAAGGAGCCCGAUGUGGGACUCGAUCCCAGGACGCUGGGAUCAUGACCCGAGGCGAAGGCAGCUGCUUAACCAACUGAGCCACCCAGGCGUCCCCAGGGCCUCUCCAGUCCGCGUGGUCAAGUUCGUUCUCCCUGCCCUCGCAACGCUCAGAAUUCUGAUCAUUGGUACAUUUUCUCCUGCCACUUUUCCUGCCUCUCUGAUCCAGGAGUUAAGUCACUAAAUUCUACAGGCCUCUGCUAACCGCCGGUUCGCUGCCUUUGUUCCGCCUGGAAUUGCAGGCUGCCAAUCAACAGAGGAUGCAGACCUCUCAGAGCGAGGGAACUUGGACAGAAUGGCGAGGUGCACUGGUCUCAGCGUACACAAGUGACCUCUUGUUCUCCAAAGCUCUUGACAGACAAGAAGGAAAAAUGACCAGCUCUUCUGCUGUCUUUGUUGUAUGAUGCCUACACUACUGUCUAGGUCCAAAUACAAGCACUUUGCAUUAUAGGACAGCACAAGGAGCAGAAGGUGAGGGCUACAAGGAUUCCUACAGAGGUCGAAAAAUAAGAUCCCUGGAGCUAAGCGAGGGAGAACUUUCUUUCAAAGACUGAGAGCAACACUUCCCUCUCCCUCCCUCUUGUUUCAUCUUUGCCCCUGCCACCCUCCUCCCCCAGACAGGAGCUGUCCAACAGAAAUGGAAUGUCAGUGAACUUGUGGAAUCACUAUGUUGUACACCUGAAAUUGAUGUGAUAUUGUGUGUCGACAAUACGCCAAAGAACAUAUUUAGGAUAAGUUCACCUGACAGUCUCUAGGAUGUGAUUAUUAUGGUUUUCUUUUCUUUCUUUCUUUUUGUGCUUUUUUUUUCCUUAAGGUGAUUUUAAAGGUUUUUCAGAUUACCAUUGAAUCACAAUAUAAUAAACGUAUUCUACUUAAGUCAUCAAUAUAAAAUAAAAGUUGUCUCUCCCAGGUAGGAAUGAUGCCAGAAUUUAUUACACAUUGAGCAAUCCAUGUAUCAUCACAGACAACAUAAAAAUAUCGAAUAGCUGAACUGGUUAAUUUGUAUCAGUGCAUGGCUUUGUUUUGCUGUAUUAUUUCCGCAGAAUUUAUUUAUAUUAAGAGUGCUUUAAUGAAUAAAAAAAGAAAUAUAACAUGA